GGGUCGAUAGCUCAGUUGGUAGAGCACGGCAUUGAAAAUGCCGGUGUCCCCGGUUCAAGUCCGGGUCGACCCA
rnacentral:tRNA from 1 species